GACUGCUGGCUGUUAUGGAAAAUUCUAAAGUCGGAACCAGUCUCAACUUUGAAUUUACGGAGAAGAAAGAAGAAAAUCACAAAAUCCAGGAGAACCAGGAGAACCAGGACAACCAGGACAACCAGGAG